GCUCGGUAUGGAGACACUGGAAAAAGAGGGUCUGAAGAAAGACUAUAAGGAACCAGAUGACAACCAAGGUAUGAGUCGAAACCUUGUUUGCAAAUAUGGCACCGAAUGCGGCAGAGAGAAAGUUCACCCGGGGCCGUAGGAGAUAAUUAAACACAGAGGAGAUCUGUCUCUGAGUCUAUUCUGUACCCGCCGUGUAGCUCACGGGCUCAUUCUGCAUUCAUAUGGCUACUCCACACUGGUGAUUUGAACAUAGUUCUUACCUCCUUACAUUUUAUCCUUACAUGAUCCUGCAUACUCAGCAGUACUGUACGUGCCCUAGUGUUAAAACUAUUGAGAAAACAAAUAAUUUGUAAAAAUGAUCUGUAUUCAUUCAAAGAGCCUUUGCAAUUCUACUUACCAAUGAGGGCAUUUAGCACGUGCUUUAUGAGAGACAAUGCCUUGAAAAGUGUUGCUAAGGAUUAUAUCUCACUUAUAGCUUGUCAUAAAUAAUUUAUGCAAAUAUUUUAACGCGCUUGUCUUGUGCCAACAUUACUUUAAAAAAAAAGAAAAAAGUUGUUAGGAUUUAUUUUUUCAAGGGAGGAAUUUGUUACGUCAGCUGUCUACAAGUACAUUCAUACAAUAUUACCUUAACUUAUGCAUAUUUAUUGUAAGUAAAACACGAACAAUAAAGUUACAAUAAAGUUCACCUUUAUUGCAUGUUAUAAACCGGUCGGGGAAAUUUAAUAAACACCUACUCUGUCGCACAUAGUCGCGUUAUGUUUUUGUAUGCUGACCACAAAAGAAGAAACACGUGUGUAAUUCCUAAUCGUUCAGAUGGUAUUCGCCGAAGACUGAGGGACAGAGAGCUCCUGAAGAAGAGGAAGGCAGAGGCAGAAGAGAAAGCAACUUACCAGUGGGUUCAUGGAGGGCAGAGCAAAAGGCAAAGAGUUCAGAGUGAGAAGAGCAGCUCUGGCAAAAUAGGGCGGCCGAGGAAAUCGGACCCCAAAGACCAGCUGCCGAAGGCCCAGGAGGAACCCCCUGUGGAGGCCUCCAAUGCAGGGGCGGCGGCCUCUCUGGAAGCCGGCCCUGUGGGAGUGCAGAUGUCCUCCCAAACUGUACCUUUACUCCCAUCACUUGCUCCUGUUCUCACUCAGCCCCAGCCAGAGGAGAUUCUCAUUCCCUCCCUGGCAGACACACUGGGGCUUGAGACCAAGAGCAGCCAACCAGUGGAGGUGGUUCUGAUCGAGGAUCUGGGUCCAGAUGAGAACGAGGACAUACCACCUCUCCCGGAGGACCUGCCUUCUGACCGGGGGACAAUCGAGGAGUUAUCUGACUGCUUCACAGCCAGUAACCAAAUGUUCUCCAUCCCAGCAACCUCCCUACCUUCCUAGGUAGAUAAUCUUUCACGAAGUCUCGUCUGAGAAACCACAGUUGUGAGACCUGCAGAGCGACACCUUCCGAGAGAGAAAUACCGCAGUAUUUGGGCAAAGAGGAAGUGCAGCCUGGGGCUCAUUGAACUCAUGAUGAGCCUUUGUGUCAACAGUGUGUAACAUUUCAUGUAUUACAUUUUAAGCAAUUCUGUUUUUGCAUUAAGUUUAAUUCUUUUAAAGAACAAAAAGCAAAAAAACCUGAGAGUUAUUUAUUUUUGGAUCAUUUACAAGCCUUUUUUCUGGAAGAUUGAAGUUGUGUGCUGGUGACCUGUCCUUCUACGCUCUAAAAAAGGUUUUUAGAUGCUCGCGUAAUUUGCAGAUUUAAAUAUUAUUGCCUUAUCUUUUAUGAAUGCCCA
rnacentral:lncRNA from 1 species